GACGAACGCUGGCGGCGUGCCUAAUACAUGCAAGUCGAGCGCAGGAAACUGACGGAACUCUUCGGAGGGAAGGCAGCGGAAUGAGCGGCGGACGGGUGAGUAACACGUAAGGAACCUGCCUCAAGGAUUGGGAUAACUCCGAGAAAUCGGAGCUAAUACCGGAUAGUGCAUCGGACCGCAUGGUCCGUUGAUGAAAGGCGCUCCGGCGUCACCUUGAGAUGGCCUUGCGGUGCAUUAGCUAGUUGGUGGGGUAACGGCCCACCAAGGAGACGAUGCAUAGCCGACCUGAGAGGGUGCUCGGCCACACUGGGACUGAGACACGGCCCAGACUCCUACGGGAGGCAGCAGUAGGGAAUCUUCCACAAGGGACGAAAGUCUGAUGGAGCAACGCCGCGUGAGUGAUGAAGGUUUUCGGAUCGUAAAACUCUGUUGUAAGGGAGGAACACGUACGAGAGGGAAUGCUCGUACCUUGACGGUACCUUACGAGAAAGCCACGGCUAACUACGUGCCAGCCGCCGCAGUAA
rnacentral:rRNA from 1 species